AAAAUAAAGCCGCAUCCUCAUUUUCCUCAUUUCCCCCCAAUUGUUCCCACCACCACUACCAGCGGUGAGUCCCUCCGUCCCACCUUCGAUCUACCGGUUUAGCCCACCGCAAUUACCACAACCGUUCUUGCUGUGUUCUGUAACCACCACCUACGCCGCCGGUUAUGCUCACAGCAAGCACCAGAACCGUUCGUGCCUUCGUGGGGUCUUCCGUAACCACCAUCACCAUGCGUGCCGUCCUUUGCAACCACCACCUCUGAUUCGCCGUGAAGGUCAUUGGUAUGGCGGAUUGGGUUGGCAGGAAUUUUGAAUCAACUUGAUUGCGAACGUGAAUAGAAAAUGGUGACUGCAAUAGUGGAUUCAGAUCCAACAUCUUGAACAAGCACUUGUCAUUGCACAAAAGGAAAGUAACGAGGUCAAAAGGCAACUUAGCAGGUGCUCCUUUCUAACGGUGCUAGAAACAGCUUGGUCAACGAUUAAACAAAAGCAUCACCAGCUGCAAGGCUUUGUGAUGAUCCAAAUGCAAAAAUGGAAGUACACUGCUGCUUUUGCUAACAAAGAAGUGGUCUUUUUUGUGGAACUCAGAUUUGAGUUGAAAUGGUGCCCCUUUACAAAAAUUAAAUGAAAUUAUGAGAACAUCAGAUUUGAGUUGAAAUGGUGCCCCUUUAAUUAUAAAAAUUAAAAUAAAGACAACCAUGGUUAGAUACACACCUCCAGUAAGUCUGGAUUGCGAGUUCAGGCGACGGACGAAGCACAUGCGAAGUUCAGGUCAGCCCUCUUUACCUACAUGUUCUGUUUGAGGUUAAAGAAAUGUGAUGAGGUUCAGGUCGGGGAUCCGAAGUUAUAACGCAUAACCCGACAACUUAGUAAAUUUUUAUUUCGCUUCUUUAGUUGAUGUGUUGAAAACAGUCAGCAUUCAUCCAUACUCUCUGAUCAUGCUAUUAUGUUUGUGCUUGAAUGUUUUCAUUAAUGUGGUUCAAAUUUCACAUCGGAUCUUCCGCAUAAACUUUAUAUGAUAACUUUUAAUUCUUGUGGGUGGCCUUAGUUAUCUAUUUAUCUCACAUUAACAAGAAAAAGAAAAUACUAGUUUUCUAAUUUCCACAUUUUACCCUGCAGAUACACAUCACAAAGUUAUUGCGGUAUUACCUCGUUUAUGCUACUUAAUGAGCUCCUUGACCCUCACAAAGGUUAUCUUAUGCAUGAUACAUGUAUAUUUAAAGAUAAUGGUAUAGUAAAGGAAACCCGUUAUGUUGGUCCUCAAAAUCAAGGCAUUAUGAUUAUGAAUUCUCUCCUACAAACUUUGUACUAUAUACCUUACUUUAAAAAGGUUAUGUAUCAGGUUGAUGCUCGGUAGAAUAAUAAUGAAGAACAAACCGUAUAGUAACAGAACUGGUGUAUAUACGGCUGCAUCUCGGUUGUUGAUUGCAACACCACUGCCUACUUACGUGCUACUCUGUUGAGGCAUUGGCUGGCAUACGGUGAAGAGAGGGAUACCUAAUGUGUGUUACAUAUGUAGAACAUUUAGAUGUACUUGAAUAUCAUUAUGUGAAGUCUAGUGCCAAGUACAAGCACCGAAGCACCACGAACAUAUCAAGUUAGCAGUAACAUCACUGAUCAGACGCCUAAUCUCGAACAAGAAGUGAAGGAUUGUACGCUUUAUAUGGAAUCUGACUGGACGGGAAUCAAGCAACUAUUAAAGAGACGAACGUUUGAUUUCAAUCGAGCAGCCAAGGCAGUUGAAGAAUGAAACCCACCCUUUCGUCCAGAAUCGUGCAAAACGAAGGUGCAUUCCACCUAAUUAAGUUUAGGAAGAUGUAUUGAACUAUAAUAAACUUAAUUAAGUAUUUGUGUUAUGUAUGUAUUAUUUGUAUCUUAGGUUUAUUAACUCGAAUAUUAUGUUUAUUAGGGUUGUAAACGAUGUAUUAUGUUUGUAAUUCAGUGUAAUGUUUGGAAGUUAGUUGAGAUGGCACAGGCAAACCGUCGUGGCGGUUGUUCCCGCCAAAUUCUCAACUGCCAUAACCGUUACAUUAUCAAUGUAUAUAAGGUUAUGUUCCCACAA